GUGUUUUCUGUAAUCCCUUAGGAGAAGUGGUGGGUGGGUGGGAAAAUGUUACAGUAGCUUUGGAACAUUACUUUGUUAAGACUUUGAAACAAGUGAUCUCUUUCAGGUGUAUUUGGUCUAUUUUACUGGCUUAACCGAAUUAUGAUUGGUUACAUGUUUUGAUGCCAUCAAAGAUAUAUUUCGAUUGGCUGAAAGAUAAUUGGUCAUGAGAUGUGCACGUGUACGCUUUGCCAAUACAAAGAUGACCUUUGAUACAAAUGACAGCUGUGGGUCUGUGACCUUUGUACCGCACGCAAAAUAUUCAAAUCGAUUGUCAUAUAAAUUAGACUAAAUUUGUGGACAGCAUUGCCCAUUAACUUAAAUUUAUAAUAUAUAUAAAUUAGCUUUAAUGGAACAAUUGCUCUCCUGCCAGCUGACUGAGCUAAGAUUUAAGAAUAGACACAUACAGCUUUUGUGUGGGAGAAUGGGUUAUGGGGAUGAAGUACUCCUGUUACAAUAAGUGUCACAUUAUAUGUAUAUUUAACCCAAUAGACUCUUUAUGGCCUUAUAUUUCAUCCUGCGGGGUAUAUAUAAGGCCCGCUCUGAUAACCCUAGGGGUAAUGGUCCCUAGGGCUGCUCUGGGGGUAAGGGUCCCCAGAGCUGCUCUGGGGGUAAGGGUCCCCAGAGCACAUGCCAGAAGGGUAGCGACCCCCUCUGACCGUAUUAACCUGAACCAAGGGGUAAGGGUCCCUUGGACAGUUCCUAUAACUCGGCCGAUUAUAUUUACAUUGAAUGAGUCUAUGGGCAUGAAGGUGACCUUUGGGAGCACUUCAACCCCACAAAUACAAUAAAGUGUAUCUGACACUUGAGUGUAUUCCCCAUAGACGAACAAUCCCACUCCUACAACAGCUGUAUUCAUAUAGAGAACAGCUUUUGCCAGAUGAUAGUAAGCUUGUACAUGUUUGAGAAUUACCAUCGCUUAUACUACAGCUGGAUAGUCAGGGAGGCCAGGAAAAACCUGCAAUACAGGAAACCUGAAUGGGGCCAAGACAAUUAACCAGCAGCUUCCCCACAAAGCUUCUAUGUUACAACUUCUCAAUAGGAGCGUUGGUAACGCGACAAACAAAGCUCUAUCUCGGCAAUUUUUUUUUUUUAUUUUUUUUUUUUUUUCACUCAGUUUUAAGUGUUUUUUAAGAGACCCAGUAUUUGCCGAAUUCUUUGUCUAUCCAAAUCGUUUGCUUGGUGAAGUAACCAAUUAAGCAUAGAGGAUUAGAGCAUUUCCAGUUGUGAGACAUAAAUCUUGGAAUAAAGCCUAUGUUGGCAUAAAACUUUGUUACACUUCCCGAAUGAGAAAGUGUAUUAAUUAAAAUACCGUUUGUCUGUUUUCCGGUCGAGAAAACGAUCGUGAAAUUGCAGUCGCGUUUAAUGCAGUGGACGAUAACAGACAGAACAUAUAUCUGACUUUUUUGUUUAAUAUUGUUGCAGUUUCCUUGAAUUUUUCAACGUAUCGUAAAGGAAAGUAUUCGUAUAGUACAGUUUCUUGGUUUAUUCGGUAUUGCAUUGGUUGGGUCCUUGCCUGUCUAUACUACAGACGUUUUGAAUUAUUUGAAAUCCUUAGUUUUAUUAUACAGAUAUGAAAUUGGCAACAAUGUUUAUUGUUUUAUACUGUAUUAUCAUUGUGUUUCCCUCCCAGAUCGAAAGCGUCGCACUAUACUGAUAAAAUAAAUAAAUAUACACAGUCACA
rnacentral:lncRNA from 1 species